UGUGCUUGGCCUUAUCUAGGUGCUGGAAAUU
rnacentral:piRNA from 1 species